GGGCAGCAAGCUCCAGGAGCAAUAAGAACUGUCCCCUGUUUAUAACUGACAUAAAUAGAAGUUUUAUAGAAUAAUAUUAGCACCAAACUUAUCUAAAAAUUUCUAUAGCCGUGACAGUGCUUCCCUAGUCGACCCUUUUUACAAAACUCUUUACCUCAACACACAUCUCUAUAAUCAUUUUAUACAGAGAGGUUAUUUCUUUUUGCUGCAUUACUGUUCUUUAGGACCUUUGGGACCAGAUUUCCAAAAUGGUGCCGAUCAAUGGAGAGAAAUCAGAAUGUCACUAAAUUGCAGGGUUUCUGGAGGCUUUUCUGUACCUGCCACUCAGGCUAAAGUAAUAACAUCAGAGGCCACAUGGUUUCCCAAAUGUAGGUGAUUGGCAACUGCAGAUUUUAAAAUAUGUCCUAUACAACGUUUGGCCCCUGUGGAAUGAGCCUCUUACUGUGCAACAUUGCAAAUGUUUAUUUAGGACCAGUUUUGUUGUUGUUGUUGUUUUUGCAUUGCUCCACGACCACAGGUAAUAUCUCAGUUCUCUGCCACAGAGCUGAAUCCUGAUGGGCACAUUUGUCCUCUCUGAGUCUCCCUCUCACCUGUGACAGUGUGCCUUGUGGACUCUGCCUGUUUCCACCUUAUGAUUGAACUAGAGCUCGACUCUCCAGCAGCGUGUUCUGCAUGGCUAAAGAGCCAUCCUGAAAACCUCUAAAGGUCAGUGGAAAAGGAUGGCCAGGGGAGGCAUUACAGUUAGCUUUGUGUCUGUUUCUAUGAAAUUCUUCCACUUAUGUUUACUUUAGGCCAACAGCAAGUUAAUAGAUUCUAAAUCUACCCCCAUCCCAAACCAUUCCAAGUAGCUUAUUCUAGAUCCCUCCCAAGGGUCAGUGCCCUAAGGAAAGCAUGUUGGCAGGUAUUAGAAAAUGUUUUUAGCAGAGCCUCAUAGGGAUAGCAAUGCUGAUCCUAGCAAAAAUGGAUCAGGUUCCUAAAGCAACUUGUUCUUGAAGCUAUCCCACUACUAUCUACAGCUUCUUUCCAUCCUCUUCCCUUCCAUCCUUUUCCCAAGUCCUAUUCCUUUGAGGCUGGUAACUGUAAUUUAAGAUGGUAGCUGACUGGGGUUUAAGGUUUGAGCCCUCCCAAGGGUCUGUGCAUUUGAGAAGGAAAUUUCUAAAAAUCAUGAAGGUGCCCUAACUCCCUUCCUCAUGAUUCCUACUCAGAAACACAGGUGGGUAGGAAGCCAGGGUUCCAGGGAAGUCUUUUUCCUGAUUUUCAGACCUAUAACCUGUUAGACCUUUGCCAACAUGGUACAUGGAAGUUAUUCUUAUAAAUCUAUUCUUUAAUAUUUUUACACAGUGUUUCUUUUUGGAUAAGCAAAUAAAGAAUCACUUUUCUAAAGUGACUUUAUCCUCAAGAUAGAGACAUUUACCUGUCUGGUAAAUCACACAUUACUUAGGUAUAUAUGUUGUUAUAACCAGGUGGAGCUUCCAUUUUUAAGCUGGGUAUAUGAUGGGUUUUUGUUAAAAUGUGCCUUAAAAGCCUAUUACUUCAAGAGCAAAUGAUUCUUUGGGGGAAAGGCAAAGUUAAUGCUAUGACAUCAGACUCAAGUUCAUGGUAGUAAGUGCACUCUUUGAUUAAUGACACACUGAUACAUAGACUACUGCCUCAAAGCCGUAAGCAUGGCAAUGACCUCUUAGUUAAAGAGAAAUGUAGGAGUUAUAAACAUUCAGUUUCUGAAGUCUGUGCUAUUGGAAUUACAAAAUCUCUUCAAUUCCUUUUUCAUUUUAUUUUUGAUAUGGGACUUAGCUUACUUGUGUGUGGCCACCUUUAGGUCUCAAAUGUAAUGCUAUAAAUAUGUAUAAAUAUACAAAAUAAUGUAUAAAUACAAAGCCCAAAUACGUGACUACAGUGACUGCUCUGGAACAUUUUUGCUCGUUUUCAAAGGUUGAGAACUUGACCUACAGAUUUCCAGGGCAAUUAGAACUUCUAUAGGGAUGAGACUCUGCUUGUGAAAUACCCUCUUUGGUUAUUUUCAGUGAUAUAGAUUAGUGUGUAUGACCAGGAUAGCGUGUUUCUGAAGGAAUAUAUAUCAAAAACUGGUUGACAUUCACAGACGGUAAUGUUUUGUGAACCUGAUAUAUUUUGGGCCCUUAAAUGUAAAAAUGCCUAAAAACACAGCAAUAUUGUUAUAUACGGGUUCUAUGAAACACACUCGAGAAAAACAGCGGGAUUGUCUUGAUUAUUAAAGUAUGGUAUGCAUUC
ensembl:lncRNA